GAAAAAUCUGUGAAACCAUGAAAAUACAUUUUUUAAAAAAAGUUUCCAGGUAUAAUACACAAAAGCAAACAAGUUUAUCUUAAAAAAUACCAAGUAUCACAUCCAUAGCCUAUUCCUAAUUAUAAUUACUUCUUAAAGCAACAUUUGUCUUUGUUUACAAAUACAGCAGCAGGUGAUAAAACCUAGUAUCUCAAACUGAUUGCUUACAAUUUAUAAUACAAACAUAUGUAUAUGUCUCAAAUCACAUUUUAGGCAGUUUAACUUAAAAUGCAUAGACAAUUACAUACAUUAAAUUUGUCAUUACUGUCAGUGAAAAAUCACAAUUUCAAGAAGAAAAUUACAACAAACUCAUAGAGCACACAUAAGAAGUCAAGUUCACUUAAUGGCAACAAGUCAGUAUCUGCUGAUCAGUGACAGGCAGUGAAAGUGCCUUUAUCCAGGGGUAAAGUGAAGAGGCAAACUAUCCUGUUACUUUGCACACUUGAAUUGUUGCGCUGAUCAACACUACAAUCUUGAAAAACAUUAAAUUCUUAAAAAAAAAAAAAGGCAUGCCACAUGUCACCCUUUAAGAUGCCCAAAGGCUGGUUACAAUUUCCACCAGUAGUGAUCCUAACACGUUUAGGUAAAACUAAUAAUGAAUGGGUAUGCUAACAAAUUCUGUAAUGUUACUUAUAGACUAUGAGCCUCUCAAGGACAGGGAUUCCCUUAUAGCUGGCAAAGAACCUGGAUCAAGGACAUAUUGUCUACUGAAUAAAUGACUCAGAUGUUUUCGACAGCCAGAAGCUUGCCUGCCAUUUACAAAAUACUGAUUAUUUUAUUGGCAAUUUCUGUUUUACUUGGCAGAAAUCUGAAAAUAAAAAGUGUUUGUCUUCAAUACUAAAUAUUGCUUUAUUAAAAUCAAAGUCUUCCCUGAACGCCACCUACAACUUUCUAUGCAUAGUACAAUAUAGCAUUCCUGAACACCUCAACUAUUUCCAUUAGAUUUGAAAAUUCUUCCUCUGAAGCCCAAAUGUCAGCAUAUUCUAUAAUCUGUAUCCCCCUCAAGACCAAAUAUACUUGCUAACAAGCAGUCUUUUCCAUAAAUCAGUUUCAGCCUAGCAUGUCUUGUUUUGAAAGCAACAUUGUUCCCUUUUAAAAAGAAAAAAAGGUCAGGUCUACUCCAAAUCUAAGAAUCUGAUUUAAACAUAAG
rnacentral:lncRNA from 10 species